rnacentral:lncRNA from 1 species
GGGACAAGGGCCCAGUUGCGGCCCCGCGCGGGACCUGUCAGUCCCGGGGUGAAGCGGACUCUCCGGCUUGGCCGGAAAAUCGAGGCCCGGGAGAAGGCAGCGUGGUCGGGAAGCUGCCGCCUUAGACCCGGACCUGUGCAGGAUUGCUUCCUGCGUAGCCGUCCCGGUUAUUGUAACGCGCGUUGCAAUCUUAACGACUGGGUUAGGGGGUUUUGUUUAUUUUUUGUGAGGGUUUGCAUAGAUGCCAAGGUCUGGGCGGGCUGGGUGUUGACGGUCUGCGCCUUCCCCCACCUCACCCGGGCCUCGGUGGGGCCGGGAGAGGGCCUGGGGCUCCGGGGAAGGGGGCUGGAGGUUCUCGAGGCGCGCGGCUCCAUCCCUCCGCCCCGAUGGGGGCGGGGAGGGGUGCUGCAGACGGCGCUGGAAAUGCAGCUCUCUGGGGAGGGGGCUCCACUCCGCGGCGCAGCAGGCUGGGGGGGAGGUUGCCUAGGAGAGGGGCCGGGGCCGGCAGCGGAGGGGAGGGAUCGCAGGGGAGGGGGCGCGGGUGCGGCCGCGGCGCUCGCCCCUCCUCGCGCGCCAUGACUGUGGAACGUGGUGCCGGGGAGGAGGGACGGCCGCCGGGGGCCGCCCGGGGCUGCUCGGCAUUGGUGCGGAAACCCGAGCCCCGAGUCGCUCCCUCGCGCUGUCUCCUCCUCCUCCUCUGCGGGGGAAACCGCUGCACCCAAACCGAGAGCAGCUGCGAGCAGGGGGCAGGGCGCGAGCUGAAAGGCGAGCCAAGGGUUCAAACCUCGUCGGCCCAGGGCAGGGGGCGAGAGCGAGACCGGGUCCCGCGAAGGACUGCAGCGGUUAAGUCCAGGUGCCGGGAUCCUAGACGGUGACCCAGCAUUUCUUUUCUGGUCCUAGGAAACAUAAGCCAAAGAUAGUUCAGCCAAACAGAGUACCUCGCGCCGGGUUCGAGGUAUCGAUCUCGCCUAGGGUCCUCAAGACAGCGAGUAUUUUUGCACGAGGGAAAGUUACACCAUUCUUUUUUCAGUGUGGGGGAAUCGUUGCGCCCUUCCCCCAAAUCUCGCUCAGGAUAAGUCAGCUUCUCCCGCUCUCCAUGCCUUCGACACUGUGUCCCCCCCCGCCCCACCCCCACUCGGGCUCUGGGUGUGGACAGGGCGGGGGAAGGCUAUAUGGGAGCUUAAAGCAUGAGGUCAUGGGCGGAGGAGGCUGAGGCCAAAAGCAGCCGAGGUUUUUGUGUUUUUUGAGGGGUAACGGUUCUCCAUCUUCAGCAGUGGGAAGUCUUCCUGCCUAAUACUACCAAUUCUAAGGCAUCUGGUCUAGAGAGUCCCCGAAAGAAGAGGGGGCUCUGCUCUGUGUCGUUUAAUCAGCAUCUGGUCGGUACCCAGCCCUUUAUGGAGACAUUACACAUAAGCAAAGAAAGCUGAGGGACAGCGCACAGUGUCGCCGGGACUGGGAAAGCUUCAGAUGCCCGAACCCCUCUUUCCCCAGUCUUUGGUCAUAUUCCAGCUGGACUGCUUGCUGCGACAGCUUCCUGGUCCCUCCGACAAUUCUUUCCAAGCGACUAGAGUCUUUCUAACACUCUUGAUUACACUCCUUUAAACCCAGCAAGCCCCUCCCCACUGCUCUUAGAAUAAAGCACGUCCCGAAGCCCCUGCGUGUUUCGCCUCUGCAGACCUCUCCACAGCUCUUCCUCGUUCACAGUAUGCCCCGUCAUGCUUUCUUUGUUCGAAGGGUGGGGUAUCCUUACCCCCGCCCCUGCCACCUCUUGCUAACUCCUGCUAGAUCUUCACGGUAUGGCUCAACAAUCAUGACCUCCAAGAAGCCUUCCUGAGAGUAUGCACGCUCACCUCUAACUCCCUUAGGGUGAAAAAGACCUACCCUAGACUUCCAGGCAGCCGGGCUGUCGCCAGAGCUGUCUCCAGUGGCGGCCCUUUUCCAAGCAGAGGAGCAACAGCCAAGCUUGAGCACCACCACCCAGAGGCCUUACCUCCUGAGAGGGAGUUGGCUGGGACAGAAAGAGCCUCGAGACGCCCUGUUUCCUCAAGACACCUGGGAAAAGCACGCACCGCCCAGAAACCUCAGCCCCUCCACCUCUUACCCCAGCACACACCCACACAAGCUAAUUCGAGGAGAGGUCUUUUAAUCUAAAGCUCCUCCCUGGGGCAGAUAAGGAACCUGAGACUCAAGAGAGUAAGUAAAUUGCCCAGGGUGAAUGCAGAAAUUUACAUCCUGGUCUUUAGAGUCCCU